CAGCCGUAAACAAUGUGCGUUAGGUGUGUCGGUAACCACGCGUUACUGAUGCGCCGAAGAGAAAUCGUGAAACGCACCACCUGGGAAGUACGGUCGCAAGGCUGAAACUUAAAGGAAUUGGCGGGGGAGCACCACAACAGGUGGAGCCUGCGGUUUAAUUGGAUUCAACGCCGGACAUCUCACCGGAUAAGACAGCUGAAUGAUUGUCAAUCUGAAGGUUUUACAUGACUAGCUGAGAGGAGGUGCAUGGCGUCAGUGACU
rnacentral:rRNA from 1 species